UACGUAGGGUGCGAGCGUUAAUCGGAAUUACUGGGCGUAAAGCGUGCGCAGGCGGUUAUUUAAGUCAGGUGUGAAAGCCCUGGGCUUAACCUAGGAAUUGCGUUUGAGACUGGAUAGCUUGGAGUGCGGCAGAGGGAGGUGGAAUUCCACGUGUAGCAGUGAAAUGCGUAGAGAUGUGGAGGAACACCGAUGGCGAAGGCAGCCUCCUGGGCCAGCACUGACGCUCAUGCACGAAAGCGUGGGGAGCAAACAGG
rnacentral:rRNA from 1 species